rnacentral:tRNA from 1 species
GUUUUUGUAGCUUACUUCACAAAGCAUGACACUGAAAAUGUCAAGACGAGAACCUCCUCCAAAAACA